rnacentral:misc_RNA from 1 species
AACUUUUAGCAACGGAUCACUUGGCUCUCGCAUCGAUGUAGAACGCAGCGAAAUGCGAUACGGAAUGUGAAUUGCAGAAUUCAGUGAAUCAUCGAAUCUUUGAACGCACCUUGCGCCCCUUGGCAUUCUGAGGGGCACACCCGUUUGAGUGUCGUGAAAUUCUCAAAACCUUUUCUUUUGCUGGAAAGGAUUUUGGACUUGGAGGCCUUGUGCUGGUUUCACCUCGAAGCGAGCUCCUCCCAAAUGGAUUAGUGGGGUCUGCUUUGCCGAUCCUUGACGUGAUAAGAUGCUUCUACGUCUCGGGUUUUGGCACUGUGCCUCUGCUUCUAACCGUCUCAUUGACAACGAUGGUGUUCCGGUCACCGCCGAUUCGUCGGUGGGAGGCUUGACCCACAAAACGACCUUGACCUCAAAUCGGGUGAGACUACCCGCUGAACUUAAGCAUAUCAAUAAGCGGAGGCU